rnacentral:misc_RNA from 1 species
AUCAUGAAGAUGGAGCAGGUUU